UACAGAGGUCCCAAGCGUUGUUCGGAUUUACUGGGCGUAAAGGGUGCGUAGGUGGUUGGGUAAGUUUGAUGUGAAAUCUCCGGGCUUAACCCGGAAAUGGCAUUGAAUACUAUUCGGCUAGAGGUUUGGAGGGGGGACUGGAAUUCUUGGUGUAGCAGUGAAAUGCGUAGAUAUCAAGAGGAACACCAGUGGCGAAGGCGAGUCCCUGGACAACACCUGACACUGAGGCACGAAAGCUAGGGGGAGCAAACAGG
rnacentral:rRNA from 1 species